rnacentral:rRNA from 1 species
UACGUAGGAGACGAGCGUUGUCCGGAAUUACUGGGCGUAAAGCGCGUGUAGGCGGAUGAGCAAGUCUGCUGCGAAAGCUCCUGGCUUAACCGGGAGUGGUCGGUGGAAACUGCUCGUCUGGAGGACGGUAGAGGUAGGUAGAAUUCCCGGUGUAGUGGUGAAAUGCGUAGAGAUCGGGAGGAAUACCUGUGGCGAAGGCGGCCUACUGGGCCGGACCUGACGCUGAGACGCGAAGGCGUGGGGAGCGAACGGG